rnacentral:lncRNA from 1 species
UUUUCUUUCACCCUUUUAAAAUCACAAACUUUUCAAAGGAAAAGUCUCACUCUACAAAGAGAGAUACAAGAUCCACUUUGAAAUCGUGCUUCCUAAUUUUAACCAUUUAAUCGACUCCAUCCUCCUUAUACUCAAUGCCGUAUAUCCUUUCACAGGCUUAAUAAAGAAAAAUAUAUGUUACUUCCAAUAAUAAGUUACUAAAAAGUAAGAAAAGGUAACAUAUCCAAACAUGUUUGUAAACACAAAAAAAAGAAGAAAAAAGGUUACUUCACACUUCAAAGUAACUUUUCACCAUAGUCAUACGUGCUCUGACUAAAUAUGUAUUGACGACAACAGAAGAAUGAAAACAAGGAAUUCAAAGACCAAAUAUCAAUCACGCGUUCGGGAUGAUUUACCUCGUGAAAAGAACCUAAUGCUGGAUCUACAUAGUGUUCAAGGCCUCGACUGCUAUCCUUUAACUGGUAGUUUCCUUGUGGCUCCAGCUCAAAGUGGGGUUUAAGGUCUUCCACGAAAUCAUCAAAGUUAGGUUCUGUUUUUGCCAUUUCACGAAGUUGGCAAAGUAUUUCUUGUCUGUGUUUUCCGCACGCAGCAUUUCGGUUCUGAUUCAAUAACAAUGUCACAAAGGAGGUCAAAAUCCACGAAAGGCUCAAGUUCAUUAACCACACAACAUCAGUUAGUCACAAACAUAUGACUGGAACAUAUCCAGAUACAGCCAGUUUAGGAUGCAAUAAAUUUAAUCUCCGUGUAUCCACUAUCAAAGCAUUGAAUUCUAAUGCAACCCUGGUGCAAUGCAAAACACUGCACUGAGCUCAAAGAGAAGAACUCCAAUGGUUCGAAAGCUAAUGAACUCGUUGAAAAGAACGCAAGUAAGAAUCCCUUUCAAAGACAAAAAGAAUAUAGCCCAAAUUAACAGAACCAAUAAGUAAUGGAAAUUUUUUUUUUCCAAAUCCAUGUUUAAAAGCGUCAUCGCUUUUCUUGACAACAUGUCCCAUAUGCUGAAGGAUAUAAAAAAGUUGCUUUUAAGCAUGCACAAACACCUCAACCUGGCAAGGCAAACCCCAAUUAAAGUCAAAGAAUCAAACAAAAGAACUAGUAAAAGCGCUAAAAUCUAACAAUUCAUAGCAUCAAAUAGUAAAAAUUAAAAAUCCAAUCUUCAGAAUAAAAAAAUAUCUACAAACAAAAGGAUAACCAUUUUCGCAAAAAACGAACAAACCUUAGGUAAAGGAGGAACACCAAUAGACUGAAAACUAUGUCCAGCAUCGACACAAUUAUCACUCGAAACAAUCAAAUCAUCAAGACUCACAAUCGAAGGAGUCUUCCAAAUCAAAACAUCUGAAAACAACCCUUCAUUUCCACCUUCAUUCCCAUCACCCAAAGAAUUUUUCUUCCCCAAAUCUUCAAACCCCAAUAUACUCAUCAACUCACUCACUGAUGGGCACCCAUUAUACCCCUCAAUUGGACGACGAUCAUGGAUUAACCUCAAAUUGUCAUGUUUCUCCCAAUCACAGUUCUGACAGAGCACCAAGGAUUCAGUACAACAGUAUAUAGAAACAGGCGAAGAAUCGCAUUUGUCGCAAAGGAGACAACGUGUGUGUUUCUUGAACAACUGGUUUGUCGAAUGCACUUCCCUGUCGCAACCCAAACAGAGCUUGGCGGAAUCAGCUCUGCAGUACAAAAGGGCCUUGGUUUCUCCGCAGAAAUCGCACAUGCGAUCUUGAGAAUCAGCAACGGUGCUAUUUUCUUGCUCUUUUAUAAAAUUCAUGUUUGAUUUUGUGGAUAUUUCUUGGUAUGAAAUUGCAGUGGGUAAUCAAAGUUCAGUGUGUGUUUCGAACAGAAAUGGCAGAGGUUUAAAGGAGAAACCUUAUCGCUUUUUUCACGUGUGUUGGAUACAUGUAAGAAGAAGAACAAAUGGAACUUGAAGUAUCUCUAGUUCAAUACAAAAUAUUAGAUAAUCUUGUACAGCAUAGUCAACUUGACUUACACUUUUUUCUUUCUUUAAUAUUGUCUGAGUAGUGUCCAUUUCGAUAUACCAAAUAUGCUCGACUUAAUGUGCAAUCCACCAUUGCAACAUCCAACCUAACUGGUCAUACCAAAAGAGCCAUGACCAAGUUUUCACCAUACAAUCGAUGGUUCAUCUCCAAUUUCUUCGUAUGCUUUCUCAUCCAUAAUACUAUGAGAUUCCAAGUUAUGGAAUAAUAGAGUCAAUUAUUACGUGGAAUAUGUGUCUUGUUUCCAGGAAUGCAUUAUGCAUAGGUCUCUUAUUUUGAUGAAGAUGGUAUAUUACUUUUUGAGCGUCUUCUGUACUUUGAGGCAUAACAAUCACUUUAGCCUUCAGAAUUCAGAUAUGAAUACAAAGACAUAUAAAAGUAGGACCCUUAGAAAUAGCAACAAGUAGAUUUACGUUACUUAAAAGAAAAAGCAGUGGCUAUGCAAGAAUUGAUUCUGACAAAGCAUGUAAUAAUUAUGGCCAACUAGUCAAUUGAUUUAGACAUGAAAUAUAAGGAUUUUGAUGUGUUUUCUGGAGUAACAGAGGAAUAUACGGUCAAAAGCUCGUUUGGUAACACUUAUUUUCAAAAUAGGUAAUUUUUUUUCUACUUACAAGUUGCAAAAGAGCAACGUUAUAUCUCCAGAAAAACUCGUGCCGAUGAGCAACGACGCUUCCACUUGACACCAUGGUAUCCCCGCUUGACACUGCGAGGUACAUUUUUUCGCUAUUUAACUCUACAAACUAAAUUCAUGCACAUAGGAUUAACUGAUUAUGAAAUCAAAUCAAGCUUAAACUAAAAUUGUAUCAACAUUUUUAGUACUGAACAUACAUGUUAAAUUUAAAUUACAAGGACAUGAAAUUGAAUUACAAAAGUAUUGCCAAACUUUCGAGAGGCAUACUGGCAUUGCUACUUCCCCUCAUCCCUCUCGUAUUUUCAGUAAAUGAAUUCCUUAGAACCUACUUUUUCUCUAUUUAUAUGGCUCGGCUUGCUGUUCACAUGGGCUGCCUCUGAUUCUAACCUGAGCACCUCAUGUGCUGCUUGUUGCUUCUUUGGCCUGCCAUAAGUGAACAGUAAUCCAGAAUCAGCAGAAAGCUAAAAAAAAUAACGGUCGAUGAUGGUAAUUUUCUAAUAUCUUGCACGUACAAAAAUAAUUUACGCUGAUUGUGGAAAGAAUAAUGCUAUGCAACCCCAUUAGGGUUAUAACCCCAGCUUAGGUGGCUUUUGAUGAUAGGCUGAAUGAAAUGUGAAAUUAGAUGACUUUUUUAAUUUCACAUAUCAUUUAAUGCCACAUUAACACCACCUUCACUGGAUAUAAUCCCAGUGGGGUUAAAUAACAUUCUCUUGUGAAACUCUUUCAGCAACCAUGGCAUUGUAUUAUGACAAUUAUGAAAUGACAUUUAGAAAAGCCCUGAUCAAAUUCGAGGAAGCAUUACAGGAUAAACAAAAAUAGAGAGAGGACAACUACCUUGUUUAACUUUUCAAUUGUUUCCAACAUGUGCUCAAUUCUGUAUUUCAUCACGGGUUGACCUGACCUUGUUUUCUUAUACAUUUUCUCCUUCAAAGAUUUUCUUUUGGCAUCAGUUUUCUCUCUUUUUUCUUUUGCUGCCUGAAUUAUGGCUUCCCUUUCUAGUCUAGCUUUCUCUUGCUCUUCGUGCUUUUUCUUGUACAAUUCUUCAAGACUUUGGGAUUUCUUCUUGCCAUUCUUGUUCUUCUGUUCAGCAUUUCGAACUUCUUCAGUUUCAUUUUCAUCCUGCAACAGCACAGAUUUAUUCCCGAUCAAAUGAAACAUAUUCACAUAUGAGUUCUGCAUUUACAUAGCAGGUUUAGCAAACAGCACACAAUUAAACUGGUUACAAUUUUUUUGCAGUGGUUACAAACUGGCUUUCAUGCUGCAACACAGAUUGAGCAACUGGUUCCCAAAUUGCCAAUUAAAGAAUAACAUGAGAAUAGUAUAGAACCUAACAAAAACCAGAGUAUAGAUUCACACCUCCAAUGGUCUUGAAAUUGUGGAGGGAUCAUUCUGCUGCUCUUGUUGCUUUAAUGACCUCUUAAAUUUUUGAACAUAUUUAGCAUUCUUGUAGAACUCCCUUUGCUUUUCUGACAAGCAUAAAUCAAUAACAUUUUUAAGCAAUACAAUAAAAAUGUAUCGAUACAUAAAUACUAGUCAUUGUCAUAACUCAUUGUAAUUAGUACUUGCCGACCAAAUGUCAAAAAUAAAUAUCAAUCAUCGAAUCAAAGUAGAAAGAUAUAAAGAUCAGGUUCAGUGAGCGAGAAACUGAGAGCUUUUGGAACAACAUAUUUCAAUUGAGCGGAUAUCAAAUCCACAGCACAACUCUUCCAUUUUUAAUUGGAUUACAGGGUCAAUGCAGGUUACAAUCCAACAUAAACCCUCGAAUUUUAGGCCCAAAUUUGAUGGUUUUUAAAUCCACCAAUUUUUCGGUCUUUUAAAAAUUCCUUCUGCUCAACUACUCAUUGCACCCAUCACGAUCUCCCCCCACGUAAUCUACAAAGACACUCAAUUGUCCAGAAUAUCUGGUUGCUGAACUUGACAUGGUCAAGUGACCAAAAUAUCUGGUAGAACCCAAAGGGUUUGAGACACUAUAGUAGUGCCUCUCUAUUCUCAACUUCCCCCAAAUAAUUAUAUUUCUCUACUAAUUAAUCAUAAAAUAUGUUUUCUAUCAUAUCUAUCUCUACAACACAAGCUUUCAAACGACUCUUUUGUUCAUGCAAUUAAUUAACUAAAAAACAAAAUCCAUAUUUAGACUCAUUUAUUUAACAUGCCAAGCUAGCUCUUGACUCAAUCUACUUGCAAUUCUACCUGUUGGGAAUGCAAUCAACUAUGUAGCAUUUACAUGGAGGAUUCAGGCUGCGAUUCGUACUCAAGUCCACGUAUACUAUUCCGGAUAUACUCAGGUUUACAAAGUUAGCAAUAAUUUCUGUGAGAACCAGUACAUUAACCAAACUUGGCCCAUGUUUGAUGGUCAUUAUUCGUAAAAAACAAUGUUUUGAAUAGUAAUUUUUAGGAAAAUGUUUGAUUAAAAAAUAGAAAAAGGUUUUGGUUUACGUGCUGAAUAUUUCACCUUGUGAAUUCGAUGUUGAAAACGAGUAUUUACAAAAAAGAGUUUUUAAAUAAUGGUUGUCGAACGAGUAAACGACAUGCUGUCAAUCGUCAUUCCAACAUUUUCUCUUUGACAAUCUCAAUUGAAUCUUAAAUUGAGCGAAUUUCAUUAGGUCAAGUCUUUUCCAUAAGAUUACAGAUUACCCUUAAUGGAAAAAUCGCUUAAAAUUCGAAUAAGUAAUAAAAAAGAAUAACUUAUAUACCCAAAUUCUUCCAGCAUCGAGCUCAGUUUCAAUUCUAAUACUUUUAAUGAGCUCAAUUCCAUCGAUGACAAUCAAACAAAGAAAUUUGAAUACUUAGAGAGAGGUGCAUACUAAUUAAGGCAGGGUUGUAAUUGUCGUUCCUGGUUUUGGCAUUGGCGAAUGCUUCGAGAGAGAGGCCUGCUCCUCCCAAUCGCUGCAUAUUCUUCUUCACCAUCUUCUUUUUGGACUUGAUCGAAUCUGGACCAUUGAAUUUCUUGCCUCCCUUUUUAGCAUCUUCUGAAACUCCUCCGCCUUUCUUCAUUGUUCUGUCGAAACCAAAUAUCAAUUCAAAUUUUGAUUCGAAUACCCUGCUUUACAGAGAAACCCUAACCCUAAUUUGCAAUAAGCAGAGAUGAACAUGUGUAAAUUUUGUACUUAAUCCUAGUGGAAUUCAGAUUCCCGAACCGGGUAUAAAUCUCGGCCCAAGAAUAUGGGCUCCCGUUCUACCUCGUCAUGGGCCAGUUUAAGAACCAGUCCAAGCCUUAACCCCCAAGAGGUAUAGCAUGGUCAAUAAGUAAAAAAUUUCUUGUAAAAUAAUUUUAAAAACCUCAAAAUUGAUUUAGAUUCACCAAAAUUGAUUAUAUUUUAUUUCAGACAAAAAACUUGCAUGGAUGGUCCAAUAUUAAUAUGGUACUUGAUAAGGUCGACGAUUCAAUAUUACCAAGUACAAAACAUGAUCAAGACGUAAUUUAUCGUGGUAUAUGAAUCUUCACAUUUCCUUCAGACCACCUAUACAAUCACCCAACGUUUUUACGCUUGGAUCGAAAAGAUAAGCAAAAACAAGAUCUUCGUAAACAAAAACUUAAGCAUCACAUUUCAUAGUUACAUGCUAUAAUUUAUACAGAAAAUUCAUUUUUACCAUCUAAAUUUCCACAAUAUGAACUAGAAGUCUAAAUCAAUAGUAACCCAAGGCUAUACAAAUUAUUGCAAGUGCUUAAGUGCACAACAUAAAUUUGUAAAUCUGCAUACGAAUUUCCUUGUCCCAUGACCCUCCUACUUUCUGCAAGAUUUUUUGAACACAUUGUUGUGCAGCCGUCUCUCAGCGUUCAAUCUUAGCAAAACGCCCCUUGAUUCUUGUUCGACUCUCUGCCCGUACUUUCCUCGACUCAUACCUGAUGUGCUUAUCAAACCUGUUAUUUCACAAGCUAAACUGUGUUAGUUUAAGAACAUGAAGGCCACAACUCCAACCGACAGAAUAUGCAGAACAAUGAAUUAUUUAUGAAAACCUAAAGCCAACAGUUCCUAUGCUAAUAUCUCAUUCUUUCUCAGAAUUAGGUAAAGUGAACAAACCGCCGAAAAAGAUGAAAAUUGGAACUUUCUGGACAAUGUAUUCCAUGUAUAGAAAUAAGAUAUUAAGAGGUGCGCAACUUGUUAUGGCAUUAAAUUAACGAGCUAAACGGUGAAACCUCAUGAGGAUAAGAAACACUUCGUAGGUUUCAUUAUUUAAAAGGAUGUACGAAUUACUAGUGCACAAGUUCAGAUUACAGUACCCUAACAAACUCAUGGAAAAUACACUGAUUAUUCACAUGCAGAAUAGGAAUAAGUGAAAGAGAGACGGUUCAGAUUACGACAAGUAGAAUAAGCAACAUUACCUCCUAGUUUUCUUUUUUUCUUUGUACCGUGAGAUAGCAAGGUCCCUUUCCUGGCUGUUCAGUUCACGUGCUGCCACUUUAGGAAUUGCUUCGAAGGGUCUAGAAUUAACGGGAACACAUGAUUGUCCUUCUUGGCAUCCAUUUGAUUGAAACGGACUUUCUCCAACAUCCGAAUCUUUAUCAGGUACUAAAUGGUUUGUGUCAAUGUAGCUACCUAAUAAGGCAGAAGAAAAGUCUUGAUCUGCAACACCUCCACUAUCACCGCACAAUAGAAACUGCAAGAAAAGAACACGAUCACUUCUUUUCCUGUUUUCUUUCACCCUUUUAAAAUCACAAACUUUUCAAAGGAAAAGUCUCACUCUACAAAGAGAGAUACAAGAUCCACUUUGAAAUUGUGCUUCCUAAUUUUAACCAUUUAAUCGACUCCAUCCUCCUUAUACUCAAUGCCGUAUAUCCUUUCACAGGCUUAAUAAAGAAAAAUAUAUGUUACUUCCAAUAAUAAGUUACUAAAAAGUAAGAAAAGGUAACAUAUCCAAACAUGUUUGUAAACACAAAAAAAAGAAGAAAAAAGGUUACUUCACACUUCAAAGUAACUUUUCACCAUAGUCAUACGUGCUCUGACUAAAUAUGUAUUGACGACAACAGAAGAAUGAAAACAAGGAAUUCAAAGACCAAAUAUCAAUCACGCGUUCGGGAUGAUUUACCUCGUGAAAAGAACCUAAUGCUGGAUCUACAUAGUGUUCAAGGCCUCGACUGCUAUCCUUUAACUGGUAGUUUCCUUGUGGCUCCAGCUCAAAGUGGGGUUUAAGGUCUUCCACGAAAUCAUCAAAGUUAGGUUCUGUUUUUGCCAUUUCACGAAGUUGGCAAAGUAUUUCUUGUCUGUGUUUUCCGCACGCAGCAUUUCGGUUCUGAUUCAAUAACAAUGUCACAAAGGAGGUCAAAAUCCACGAAAGGCUCAAGUUCAUUAACCACACAACAUCAGUUAGUCACAAACAUAUGACUGGAACAUAUCCAGAUACAGCCAGUUUAGGAUGCAAUAAAUUUAAUCUCCGUGUAUCCACUAUCAAAGCAUUGAAUUCUAAUGCAACCCUGGUGCAAUGCAAAACACUGCACUGAGCUCAAAGAGAAGAACUCCAAUGGUUCGAAAGCUAAUGAACUCGUUGAAAAGAACGCAAGUAAGAAUCCCUUUCAAAGACAAAAAGAAUAUAGCCC